rnacentral:tRNA from 1 species
AGGGCUAUAGCUCAGUUGAUAGAGCAGGUAAAAAGGAGCUUUGUCAAAAGCUUUUGCAGCAGCUUUCUAUUGGAUUGAUUCCUCGUGUCACCGGUUCGAGUCCGGUUAGCCCUA